UACAGAGGUCCCAAGCGUUGUUCGGAUUCAUUGGGCGUAAAGGGUGCGUAGGUGGCGCUGUAAGUGGGGUGUGAAAUCCCGGGGCUUAACCCCGGGACUGCAUUCCAUACUGCAGUGCUUGAGGACUGGAGAGGAGACUGGAAUUUACGGUGUAGCAGUGAAAUGCGUAGAGAUCGUAAGGAAGACCAGUGGCGAAGGCGGGUCUCUGGACAGUUCCUGACACUGAGGCACGGAAG
rnacentral:rRNA from 1 species